rnacentral:rRNA from 1 species
CACACUAUCAUUAACUGAAUCCAUAGGUUAAUGAGGCGAACCGGGGGAACUGAAACAUCUAAGUACCCCGAGGAAAAGAAAUCAACCGAGAUUCCCCCAGUAGCGGCGAGCGAACGGGGAGGAGCCCAGAGCCUGAAUCAGUGUGUGUGUUAGUGGAAGCGUCUGGAAAGGCGCGCGAUACAGGGUGACAGCCCCGUACACAAAAAUGCACAUACUGUGAGCUCGAUGAGUAGGGCGGGACACGUGGUAUCCUGUCUGAAUAUGGGGGGACCAUCCUCCAAGGCUAAAUACUCCUGACUGACCGAUAGUGAACCAGUACCGUGAGGGAAAGGCGAAAAGAACCCCGGCGAGGGGAGUGAAAAAGAACCUGAAACCGUGUACGUACAAGCAGUGGGAGCCUCUUUAUGGGGUGACUGCGUACCUUUUGUAUAAUGGGUCAGCGACUUAUAUUCUGUAGCAAGGUUAACCGAAUAGGGGAGCCGAAGGGAAACCGAGUCUUAACUGGGCGUUAAGUUGCAGGGUAUAGACCCGAAACCCGGUGAUCUAGCCAUGGGCAGGUUGAAGGUUGGGUAACACUAACUGGAGGACCGAACCGACUAAUGUUGAAAAAUUAGCGGAUGACUUGUGGCUGGGGGUGAAAGGCCAAUCAAACCGGGAGAUAGCUGGUUCUCCCCGAAAGCUAUUUAGGUAGCGCCUCGUGAAUUCAUCUCCGGGGGUAGAGCACUGUUUCGGCAAGGGGGUCAUCCCGACUUACCAACCCGAUGCAAACUGCGAAUACCGGAGAAUGUUAUCACGGGAGACACACGGCGGGUGCUAACGUCCGUCGUGAAGAGGGAAACAACCCAGACCGCCAGCUAAGGUCCCAAAGUCAUGGUUAAGUGGGAAACGAUGUGGGAAGGCCCAGACAGCCAGGAUGUUGGCUUAGAAGCAGCCAUCAUUUAAAGAAAGCGUAAUAGCUCACUGGUCGAGUCGGCCUGCGCGGAAGAUGUAACGGGGCUAAACCAUGCACCGAAGCUGCGGCAGCGACACUAUGUGUUGUUGGGUAGGGGAGCGUUCUGUAAGCCUGCGAAGGUGUACUGUGAGGUAUGCUGGAGGUAUCAGAAGUGCGAAUGCUGACAUAAGUAACGAUAAAGCGGGUGAAAAGCCCGCUCGCCGGAAGACCAAGGGUUCCUGUCCAACGUUAAUCGGGGCAGGGUGAGUCGACCCCUAAGGCGAGGCCGAAAGGCGUAGUCGAUGGGAAACAGGUUAAUAUUCCUGUACUUGGUGUUACUGCGAAGGGGGGACGGAGAAGGCUAUGUUGGCCGGGCGACGGUUGUCCCGGUUUAAGCGUGUAGGCUGGUUUUCCAGGCAAAUCCGGAAAAUCAAGGCUGAGGCGUGAUGACGAGGCACUACGGUGCUGAAGCAACAAAUGCCCUGCUUCCAGGAAAAGCCUCUAAGCAUCAGGUAACAUCAAAUCGUACCCCAAACCGACACAGGUGGUCAGGUAGAGAAUACCAAGGCGCUUGAGAGAACUCGGGUGAAGGAACUAGGCAAAAUGGUGCCGUAACUUCGGGAGAAGGCACGCUGAUAUGUAGGUGAAGUCCCUCGCGGAUGGAGCUGAAAUCAGUCGAAGAUACCAGCUGGCUGCAACUGUUUAUUAAAAACACAGCACUGUGCAAACACGAAAGUGGACGUAUACGGUGUGACGCCUGCCCGGUGCCGGAAGGUUAAUUGAUGGGGUUAGCGGUAACGCGAAGCUCUUGAUCGAAGCCCCGGUAAACGGCGGCCGUAACUAUAACGGUCCUAAGGUAGCGAAAUUCCUUGUCGGGUAAGUUCCGACCUGCACGAAUGGCGUAAUGAUGGCCAGGCUGUCUCCACCCGAGACUCAGUGAAAUUGAACUCGCUGUGAAGAUGCAGUGUACCCGCGGCAAGACGGAAAGACCCCGUGAACCUUUACUAUAGCUUGACACUGAACAUUGAGCCUUGAUGUGUAGGAUAGGUGGGAGGCUUUGAAGUGUGGACGCCAGUCUGCAUGGAGCCGGCCUUGAAAUACCACCCUUUAAUGUUUGAUGUUCUAACGUUGGCCCCUGAUCGGGGUUGCGGACAGUGUCUGGUGGGUAGUUUGACUGGGGCGGUCUCCUCCUAAAGAGUAACGGAGGAGCACGAAGGUUGGCUAAUCCUGGUCGGACAUCAGGAGGUUAGUGCAAUGGCAUAAGCCAGCUUGACUGCGAGCGUGACGGCGCGAGCAGGUGCGAAAGCAGGUCAUAGUGAUCCGGUGGUUCUGAAUGGAAGGGCCAUCGCUCAACGGAUAAAAGGUACUCCGGGGAUAACAGGCUGAUACCGCCCAAGAGUUCAUAUCGACGGCGGUGUUUGGCACCUCGAUGUCGGCUCAUCACAUCCUGGGGCUGAAGUAGGUCCCAAGGGUAUGGCUGUUCGCCAUUUAAAGUGGUACGCGAGCUGGGUUUAGAACGUCGUGAGACAGUUCGGUCCCUAUCUGCCGUGGGCGCUGGAGAACUGAGGGGGGCUGCUCCUAGUACGAGAGGACCGGAGUGGACGCAUCACUGGUGUUCGGGUUGUCAUGCCAAUGGCACUGCCCGGUAGCUAAAUGCGGAAGAGAUAAGUGCUGAAAGCAUCUAAGCACGAAACUUGCCCCGAGAUGAGUUCUCCCUGACUCCUUGAGAGUCCUGAAGGAACGUUGAAGACGACGACGUUGAUAGGCCGGGUGUGUAAGCGCAGCGAUGCGUUGAGCUAACCGGUACUAAUGAACCGUGAGGCUUAACCUU